rnacentral:rRNA from 1 species
GUGCCAGCCGCCGCGGUAAAACGUAGGAGGCGAGCGUUAUCCGGAUUUACUGGGUGUAAAGCGCGUGCAGGCGGUCGGAUAAGUUGGGUGUGAAAGCUCCCGGCUCAACUGGGAGAGGUCGCUCAAGACUGCCCGACUGGAGCAUGGUAGGGGAAGGCGGAAUUCCAGGUGUAGUGGUGAAAUGCGUAGAUAUCUGGAGGAACACCAGUGGCGAAAGCGGCCUUCUGGACCAUGACUGACGCUCAGACGCGAAAGCUAGGGGAGCAAACGGGAUUAGAGACCCCGGUAGUCCUAGCCGUAAACGAUGUGAACUUGGCGGCGGACGGGUAAAACUGUUCGCUGCCGCAGCUAACGCGAUAAGUUCACCACCUGGGGACUACGGCCGCAAGGUUAAA